rnacentral:rRNA from 1 species
GAAAGCGAGCCGGAKCCAUGCCGCGUGGAGGUAGAAGGCCUACGGGUCGUGAACUUCUUUUCCCGGAGAAGAAGCAAUGACGGUAUCCGGGGAAUAGGCAUCSGCUAACUCUGUGCCAGCACCCGCGGUAAGACAGAGGAUGCAAGCGUUAUCCGGAAUGAUUGGGCGUAAAGCGUCUGUAGGUGGCUUUUUAAGUUCGCCGUCAAAUCCCRGGGCUCNCCCCUGGACAGGCGGUGGAAACUACCAAGCUGGAGUACGGUAGGGGCAGAGGGAAUUUCCGGUGGAGCGGUGAAAUGYGUAUAGAUCGGAAAGAACACCAACGGCGARAGCACUCUGCUGGGCCGACAUAGACACUGAGAGACGAAAGCUAGGGGAGCGAAUGGGAUUAGAUACCCCAGUAGUCCUAGCCGUAAACGAUGGAUACUAGGCGUUGUGCGUAUCGACCCGUGCARUGCUGUAGCUAACGCGUUAUCUAUCCCU